rnacentral:lncRNA from 1 species
AGAAAGAGGGUGAGUAAGUAGAGAGAAAAAUAGAGUGGAGAGAAAUUUCUCCAAGAGAGAAAAAUUAGUGAGCCACAUAUAUUGUAAACACUAAAGUUGUAGCCCUAUUAUUUUACAUAGUGGAAAAGUUACUACUGCUGCUCUCCGAGGACGUAGGCAUAGCCGAACCUCGUUAAAUACUGUGUCUCAUUUACUUUACGUGCAGCUCAAUAUUCAUACAUAUUCCAGGUUAUUUUUAUAACACGUUAUCAGCACGAGAAGCUCUCAGGUAUAAUUUUUGUGCUGCACUAUUAUCUAUACUACUAACCACUAACAAAAAUGGACCCUUGGUAAUACUAAACAUAUUAUCAGUGGGAGACCGUUACUAAUACUAACUUUUUCUUAUUUUAUUCGGUGGUGGUUUUAACCCCACAUUUAUUUACUGUAUGGUGUAGGUUUAUUACCCAUACAUGCACCUUUACUUUAUCGCAAAUUUAUUUUACCGCAUAUUUAUUUUAUUUACUGUAUGGUGUAGGUUUAUUACCCAUACAACAGUAUUUAUUUAAAAGGGUGGUGCGGGUUUAUCGUCCACGCCUUUGCUUUUAUUUAAAUAUAUGGAGCAGAAUUAGUGCCCAUACAAGCACAAUUUACUUUACCGCACAUUUAAUUUUAUUUAAAGUAUGGUGCGAGAUUAACGUCCAUACAGCAAGCAAUUUAAUUUAUGAAUUUAAUUUACCGCACAUUUACAUUUAUUGAAAAGGGUGGUGCAGGUUUAUCGUCCACGCCUUUACUUUUAUUUAAAUGUAUGGAGCAGAAUUAAUGCCCAUACAAGCACCUUAACUUUAUGAAUUUAAUUUACCGCACAUUUACAUUUAUUUAAAGUGUGGUGCGGGUUUAUCGUCCAUACCAGUAAUUUAUUUAUCAGCAAUUUAUUUUAUGGAUUAAUUGUGCUGUAUGAUGAGUUUUUCCAGUAUGCAGAUCAGGACCAGAAGUUCCUUGAUCCUCAUCAUACAAUUACAUCAGGACUUGAAGAUCCUUGAUGAUGAUAUGAGAGCUGGCAGUCUCUCCGGUACUGUAUUUGUAAACAUGUGAUUGGACUUAAAGGUCCUUGAUCCCGACAUGUAAAUAAGGACCUAGAGUUCCUUAAUGAUGUAACAGUACCGUAUUGGUUCAUGGUGCCGUACACAUUGAUGAUAACUGUACUGGCAGAUGAAUAGAUAUGUAUUCAUGACUUGAUGAAUAGUACUAUUCACAUGAAUAGUGACGUAUGCAUAAAUAUUAACCAUUUUGGGU